UGGUGGGUAGUUUGACUGGGGCGGUCUCCUCCUAAAGAGUAACGGAGGAGCACGAAGGUUGGCUAAUCCUGGUCGGACAUCAGGAGGUUAGUGCAAUGGCAUAAGCCAGCUUGACUGCGAGCGUGACGGCGCGAGCAGGUGCGAAAGCAGGUCAUAGUGAUCCGGUGGUUCUGAAUGGAAGGGCCAUCGCUCAACGGAUAAAAGGUACUCCGGGGAUAACAGGCUGAUACCGCCCAAGAGUUCAUAUCGACGGCGGUGUUUGGCACCUCGAUGUCGGCUCAUCACAUCCUGGGGCUGAAGUAGGUCCCAAGGGUAUGGCUGUUCGCCAUUUAAAGUGGUACGCGAGCUGGGUUUAGAACGUCGUGAGACAGUUCGGUCCCUAUCUGCCGUGGGCGCUGGAGAACUGAGGGGGGCUGCUCCUAGUACGAGAGGACCGGAGUGGACGCAUCACUGGUGUUCGGGUUGUCAUGCCAAUGGCACUGCCCGGUAGCUAAAUGCGGAAGAGAUAAGUGCUGAAAGCAUCUAAGCACGAAACUUGCCCCGAGAUGAGUUCUCCCUGAGACUUUAAGUCUCCUGAAGGAACGUUGAAGACGACGACGUUGAUAGGCCGGGUGUGUAAGCGCAGCGAUGCGUUGAGCUAACCGGUACUAAUGAACCG
rnacentral:rRNA from 1 species